UACGGAGGAUGCAAGCGUUAUCCGGAAUGAUUGGGCGUAAAGGGUCCGCAGGUGGCAGUGUAAGUCUGCUGUCAAAGAAUGAGGCUUAACCUUAUCAAGGCAGUGGAAACUACACAGCUAGAGUACGGUCGGGGUAGAAGGAAUUCCUGGUGUAGCGGUGAAAUGCGUAGAGAUCAGGAAGAACACCGGCGGCGAAAGCGUUCUGCUAGACCUGUACUGACACUGAGGGACGAAAGCUAGGGGAGCGAAUGGG
rnacentral:rRNA from 1 species